CUUGGUCAUUUAGAGGAAGUAAAAGUCGUAACAAGGUUUCCGUAGGUGAACCUGCGGAAGGAUCAUUAGUGAAUUAAACAUGCUUGGUGUCUUCGCUUCGGCAAGACCCUUGCUUAAAUCACAUCCUAACACCUGUGAACUGUAAGGCGUAUGAUAAAGCUUCGGCUGCAUCGUCGUCUGCCCUUUUAACAAACAAUUAAUGUAACAAACGUAGUCUUAUUAUAACCUAAUAAAACUUUCAACAACGGAUCUCUUGGCUCUCGCAUCGAUGAAGAACGCAGCGAAAUGCGAUAAGUAAUGUGAAUUGCAGAUUUCAGUGAACCAUCGAAUCUUUGAACGCACCUUGCGCUCUUUGGUAUUCCGAAGAGCAUGCCUGUUUGAGUGUCAUGAAAAUAUCAACCUUGACUUGGGUUUUGUGCUCGAGUCUUGGCUUGGAUGUGGGUGCUUGCCGCUUUAACGAGCGGCUCACCUUAAAUGUAUUAGCUGGAUCUGUCUUUGAGACUUGGUUUGACUUGGCGUAAUAAGUAUUUCGCUAAGGACAUUCUUCGGAAUGGCCUCGUUUCUGGGACGCUUGUCCGCUUUCCAAUACAAGUUCCAUUCGUGGACAUGACUUUUUAUUAUCUGGCCUCAAAUCAGGUAGGACUACCCGCUGAACUUAAGCAUAUCAAUAAGCGGAGGAA
rnacentral:rRNA from 1 species